UACGUAGGUGGCUAGCGUUGUCCGGAUUUACUGGGCGUAAAGAGCGCGCAGGCGGUCGUUCAAGUCGAGUGUGAAAGCCCCCGGCUCAACUGGGGAGGGUCACUCGAUACUGAUCGACUUGAAGGCGGGAGAGGGAAGCGGAAUUCCCGGUGUAGUGGUGAAAUGCGUAGAUAUCGGGAGGAACACCAGUGGCGAAGGCGGCGACCUGGGCCAAUAUUGACGCUGGAGGUGCGAAAGCGUGGGGAGCAAACAGGG
rnacentral:rRNA from 1 species